rnacentral:rRNA from 1 species
AGAGUUUGAUCCUGGCUCAGGAUGAACGCUAGCUACAGGCUUAACACAUGCAAGUCGAGGGGCAGCAUGGUCUUAGCUUGCUAAGGCCGAUGGCGACCGGCGCACGGGUGAGUAACACGUAUCCAACCUGCCGUCUACUCUUGGACAGCCUUCUGAAAGGAAGAUUAAUACAAGAUGGCAUCAUGAGUCCGCAUGUUCACAUGAUUAAAGGUAUUCCGGUAGACGAUGGGGAUGCGUUCCAUUAGAUAGUAGGCGGGGUAACGGCCCACCUAGUCUUCGAUGGAUAGGGGUUCUGAGAGGAAGGUCCCCCACAUUGGAACUGAGACACGGUCCAAACUCCUACGGGAGGCAGCAGUGAGGAAUAUUGGUCAAUGGGCGAGAGCCUGAACCAGCCAAGUAGCGUGAAGGAUGACUGCCCUAUGGGUUGUAAACUUCUUUUAUAAAGGAAUAAAGUCGGGUAUGGAUACCCGUUUGCAUGUACUUUAUGAAUAAGGAUCGGCUAACUCCGUGCCAGCAGCCGCGGUAAUACGGAGGAUCCGAGCGUUAUCCGGAUUUAUUGGGUUUAAAGGGAGCGUAGAUGGAUGUUUAAGUCAGUUGUGAAAGUUUGCGGCUCAACCGUAAAAUUGCAGUUGAUACUGGAUAUCUUGAGUGCAGUUGAGGCAGGCGGAAUUCGUGGUGUAGCGGUGAAAUGCUUAGAUAUCACGAAGAACUCCGAUUGCGAAGGCAGCCUGCUAAGCUGCAACUGACAUUGAGGCUCGAAAGUGUGGGUAUCAAACAGGAUUAGAUACCCUGGUAGUCCACACGGUAAACGAUGAAUACUCGCUGUUUGCGAUAUACUGCAAGCGGCCAAGCGAAAGCGUUAAGUAUUCCACCUGGGGAGUACGCCGGCAACGGUGAAACUCAAAGGAAUUGACGGGGGCCCGCACAAGCGGAGGAACAUGUGGUUUAAUUCGAUGAUACGCGAGGAACCUUACCCGGGCUUAAAUUGCAGAUGAAUUACGGUGAAAGCCGUAAGCCGCAAGGCAUCUGUGAAGGUGCUGCAUGGUUGUCGUCAGCUCGUGCCGUGAGGUGUCGGCUUAAGUGCCAUAACGAGCGCAACCCUUGUUGUCAGUUACUAACAGGU